GCAGUCGAGGGGUAUAUGUCUUCGGAUAUAGAGACCGGCGCACGGGUGCGUAACGCGUAUGCAAUCUGCCUUUCACAGAGGGAUAGCCCAGAGAAAUUUGGAUUAAUACCUCAUAGUAUAAUCAAGCCGCAUGGUUUAAUUAUUAAAGUCACAACGGUGAAAGAUGAGCAUGCGUCCCAUUAGCUAGUUGGUAAGGUAACGGCUUACCAAGGCAACGAUGGGUAGGGGUCCUGAGAGGGAGAUCCCCCACACUGGUACUGAGACACGGACCAGACUCCUACGGGAGGCAGCAGUGAGGAAUAUUGGACAAUGGGCGCAAGCCUGAUCCAGCCAUGCCGCGUGCAGGAUGACGGUCCUAUGGAUUGUAAACUGCUUUUGUACGAGAAGAAACAUCCCGACGUGUCGGGACUUGACGGUAUCGUAAGAAUAAGGAUCGGCUAACUCCGUGCCAGCAGCCGCGGUAAUACGGAGGAUCCAAGCGUUAUCCGGAAUCAUUGGGUUUAAAGGGUCCGUAGGCGGUUUAGUAAGUCAGUGGUGAAAGCCCAUCGCUCAACGGUGGAACGGCCAUUGAUACUGCUGAACUUGAAUUAUUAGGAAGUAACUAGAAUAUGUAGUGUAGCGGUGAAAUGCUUAGAUAUUACAUGGAAUACCAAUUGCGAAGGCAGGUUACUACUAAUGGAUUGACGCUGAUGGACGAAAGCGUGGGGAGCGAACAGGAUUAGAUACCCUGGUAGUCCACGCCGUAAACGAUGGAUACUAGCUGUUGGGGGCAACUUCAGUGGCUAAGCGAAAGUG
rnacentral:rRNA from 1 species